UCAGAUAUGGUGUAGCGGUAACAUGGCCUCCUGUAUUACUGAGGCCGUCCUGGGUUCGACUCCCAGUAUCUGAC